AGCUCCAAUAGCGUAUAUUAAAGUUGUUGCAGUUAAAAAGCUCGUAGUUGGACUUGUGGUGGUUCCUGCGGUCCAAUUUUGGUACUGUCGGGGACCGCCAUCUUUGGGUGGAUCCUGUGUGGCAUUAGGUUGUCGUGCAGGGGAUGCCCAUCGUUUACUGUGAAAAAAUUAGAGUGUUCAAAGCAGGCUUAUGCCGUUGAAUAUAUUAGCAUGGAAUAAUGAGAUAGGACCUUGGUACUAUUUUGUUGGUUUGCGCACCGAGGUAAUGAUUAAUAGGGACAGUUGUGGGUAUUCGUAUUCCAUUGUCAGAGGUGAAAUUCUUGGAUUUCUGGAAGACGAACUAAUGCGAAAGCAUUUACCAAGGAUGUUUUCA
rnacentral:rRNA from 1 species